UACGAAGGGGGCUAGCGUUGCUCGGAAUCACUGGGCGUAAAGGGCGCGUAGGCGGACUCUUAAGUCGGGGGUGAAAGCCCAGGGCUCAACCCUGGAAUUGCCUUCGAUACUGAGAGUCUUGAGUUCGGAAGAGGUUGGUGGAACUGCGAGUGUAGAGGUGAAAUUCGUAGAUAUUCGGAAGAACACCAGUGGCGAAGGCGACUUACUGGACACAUAUUGACGCUGAGGUGCGAAAGCGUGGGGAGCAAACAGG
rnacentral:rRNA from 1 species